rnacentral:tRNA from 1 species
GCCUGGCUGGCUCCGUCGGUGGAGCAUGUGACUCUUGCUCUCGGGGUCAUGAGUUCGAGCCCCAUGUUGGGCG